rnacentral:rRNA from 1 species
CACGUAGGGGCCAAGCGUUGUCCGGAUUUAUUGGGCGUAAAGGGCUCGUAGGUGGCCAACUAAGUCAGACGUGAAAUCCCUCGGCUUAACCGGGGAACUGCGUCUGAUACUGGAUGGCUCGAGUUCGGGAGAGGGAUGCGGAAUUCCAGGUGUAGCGGUGAAAUGCGUAGAUAUCUGGAGGAACACCGGUGGCGAAGGCGGCAUCCUGGACCGACACUGACACUGAGGAGCGAAAGCCAGGGGAGCAAACGGG